CCUACGGGGAGCAGCAGUAGGGAAUCUUUCACAAUGGGCGAAAGCCUGAUGGAGUAACGCCGCGUGCAGGAUGAAGGCCUUCGGGUUGUAAACUGCUUUUAUAAGCGAGAAAUAUGAUGGUAACUUAUGAAUAAGGAUCGGCUAACAAAGUGCCCGCAGCCGCGGUCAUAAGUAGGAUACGAGCAUUAUCCGGAGUGACUGGGUGUAAAGAGUUGCGUAGGUGGGAUAAUAAGUAGCUAGUGAAAUCUGGUGGCUCAACCAUUCGGACUAUUAGCUAAACUGUUAAGCUCGAGAGCGUUAGGGGUAACUGGAAUUUCUAGUGUAGGAGUGAAAUCCGUAGAUAUUAGAAGGAACACCAGUAGCGUAGGCAGGUUACUGGGACGGUUCUGACACUAAGGCACGAAAGCGUAGGGAGCAAACGGGAUUAGAUACCCGGGUAGUC
rnacentral:rRNA from 1 species